rnacentral:tRNA from 1 species
UCCCAGGUGACUCAGUGGUAAAGAAUCUGCCUGCCAAGCAGGAGCUGCAGGUUCGAUCCCUGUGUUGAGAA